GAAACGAAAUCAUUAAAUAAAUGUAUUAUAUAUAUAUAUAUAAAGAGUUCAAUAUAUUCGUGGAAUUUUGAAACAUUCUAGAUGUUAACUAAAGUAAAUUCAAAAAAUUGAAGUUUUUAUUAAAUUCUAAAUUGCGGAUUUUUUUUUGCAGUGUUGUACAAAAAAUAUUCAAAAUAUACAUUAUGAUAUUUAAAAAAUAAAAGAAAUCUUAAGUUCCAUUUUUUUUAUCAUAUUCAUAAAAAUUGCGAUGUUCAUAGUUAAAGUAGUCUAGCAAUUGUUGGAAUGAGAUCAAAUGAUGAUAUAAAUCUAAAAUAAUAUUUUUAUAUGUAUAUCUUCCAAAGCAAUCCUACGAAUAUUAAUAUUUUAUAAAUAGAAUCAUAAAGGAUUCUGAAUAUUCAAACGAACAGUUCAAAACGGAACAAAUAAAUAGCCUCAAGGGUAACAAUCUCUUAAUCCUAAUAUAAAUCAAAACUUACACAAAUACGUGCAAGCGCAGUGAACUGUAUUUCGAAAUAGCAAGAGGAAUAGCAAAGUGUAUUUAAAUCGUUCCUAAUAUCUUAAAAUUAAUUACGAAAAAUAAGCAACAAUUUUUUAAACGAUUCAAAAAUAUAUGGAUACUUUUUCGAAUUCAAUUUUUAUCUCUUCUAAAGUAUUUUCUAUAUUUGAUUUCGUCACAUUCUUUAACCAUCAUUAUCGAUCGAAAUCGAUAAAGAAGGCAUCGAUAAUAUGAAUCUUACCAAUUUUAUCCUCAAAACAAUAGGAGAAGAAUAGCAGAAAAUAGUGAAAGAUAAGAAUUAACAAACUAUGGAAUAUAUGAAAAAACGAAAAUAACAAAUUUGAAAAGAUUUUCAUUUUUGAAAAUUCUUUGCAUUUGUAUCUAACAUUGUUAUAUUGAAAAAAAAUCAUACAAAAGAUUCGUUUCUUCCAAAUAACGGAAGUACUUCAAUUCGUGUAACAUCUUCAAAAUGCUAAAACCUUGCAAACGUGUGAAAAAUCUUACUUAUUCUCGAUUUAUCUAAAUAAUCCUGUUACACUGUCCAUCCGCGCGGUCCAUUUAUUAGCCCCGAGCCAACACCAGAAAUCCCAGAUUACCCCGAUCAUUUUAUCGCAACGUGAAACAUAUUUCGUUCCACGGUCCCGCCAGUAUCGUUAAUCGCGAUAAAUCGUAUAGAAUCGCGAACCGAUCACGCGCUCCUCCCUUCUCCCUUGUUCGAAUCCGCGUGGCAGCGAGGCGCAUGCGUGCACUCGAUCCCCUCCUUCCUUUCCAUUCUCUGGAUCAGCAGCAAGGAUGAAUGAGUCGAGGGGAGAGCGGCCUCCGGGGAUGUCACCGAUCCCUCGCGUCACUCUCCCUCCCUCCUCCCUCUCUCCCCCCUCCUCCUCCGCGUCGGGGGUUAAAAAUAGCCGGAUCCACUGACGUCAUCGAUCUGUCGUCGCCGGACCAAAAUGAUUUUCAGCAAUGAAAGAAAAUAGAAUGAGAUUGUUGGAGAGGAGUCGGUAUUACAGAGAGGAAUUUUGCGAAUUUUAUUCCAGCUUUUCAGAGUGAAUUAUUAUAAUAAUUAUAACUUUGUAUUAAUUUUUCGUAUAUUCGAAAUAAAUAUUAUUUGUAUAAUUCAAUCGAAACGAGCUACUUUGCUUUUGUACGAAACAAAGGGAUCGUAAUAACAAAACUGCGAAAUAAAAUUUGUAUAAAUUCGAUUUCAAAAGAAACGGAGCUUGAAUAAAGAUUUGUCUUAUUCUUCAAA